rnacentral:rRNA from 1 species
CCUACGGGGGGCAGCAGUGAGGAAUAUUGGUCAAUGGACGCAAGUCUGAACCAGCCAUGCCGCGUGCAGGAAGACGGCUCUAUGAGUUGUAAACUGCUUUUGUACGAGGGUAAACGCAGAUACGCGUAUCUUUCUGAAAGUAUCGUACGAAUAAGGAUCGGCUAACUCCGUGCCAGCAGCCGCGGUAAUACGGAGGAUUCAAGCGUUAUCCGGAUUUAUUGGGUUUAAAGGGUGCGUAGGCGGUCGGAUAAGUUAGAGGUGAAAUCCCGAGGCUCAACUUCGGAAUUGCCUUUGAUACUGGUCGGCUAGAGAGUAGUUGAGGUAGGCGGAAUGUAUGGUGUAGCGGUGAAAUGCUUAGAGAUCAUACAGAACACCGAUUGCGAAGGCAGCAUACCAGGCUACUACUGACGUUGAGGCACGAAAGCGUGGGGAGCAAACAGGAUUAGAUACCCCGGUAGUC